rnacentral:rRNA from 1 species
UGGGGAAUAUUGCACAAUGGGCGCAAGCCUGAUGCAGCCAUGCCGCGUGUAUGAAGAAGGCCUUCGGGUUGUAAAGUACUUUCAGCGGGGAGGAAGGGAGUAAAGUUAAUACCUUUGCUCAUUGACGUUACCCGCAGAAGAAGCACCGGCUAACUCCGUGCCAGCAGCCGCGUAAUACGGAGGGUGCAAGCGUUAAUCGGAAUUACUGGGCGUAAAGCGCACGCAGGCGGUUUGUUAAGUCAGAUGUGAAAUCCCCGGGCUCAACCUGGGAACUGCAUCUGAUACUGGAAAGCUUGAGUCUCGUAGAGGGGGGUAGAAUUCCAGGUGUAGCGGUGAAAUGCGUAGAGAUCUGGAGGAAUACCGGUGGCGAAGGCGGCCCCCUGGACGAAGACUGACGCUCAGGUGCGAAAGCGUGGGGAGCAAACAGG